rnacentral:rRNA from 1 species
GAUGAACGCUAGCGGCAGGCCUAACACAUGCAAGUCGAGGGAGAGGUUACCUUCGGGUAACCAAAACCGGCGCACGGGUGCGUAACGCGUAUACAAUCUGCCUUUCACAUAGGGAUAGCCCGAAGAAAUUUGGAUUAAUACCUAAUGGUAUAUAAGAGCGGCAUCGUUUUUAUAUUAAAGCUACGGUGGUGAAAGAUGAGUAUGCGUUCUAUUAGCUAGUUGGAGAGGUAACGGCUCCCCAAGGCGACGAUAGAUAGGGGUUCUGAGAGGGAUGUCCCCCACACUGGUACUGAGAUACGGACCAGACUCCUACGGGAGGCAGCAGUAAGGAAUAUUGGACAAUGGUCGGAAGACUGAUCCAGCCAUGCCGCGUGCAGGAUGAAGGUCCUAUGGAUGGUAAACUGCUUUUGUAAGGGAAGAAUAAGGAGUACGUGUACUUUGAUGACGGUACCUUACGAAUAAGCAACGGCUAACUCCGUG